rnacentral:rRNA from 1 species
GACGAACGCUGGCGGCGUGUUUAACACAUGCAAGUCGAACGGGGCUGCUAUGAUGGAGCUUUCGGACAACUGAUUAGUAUGCCUAGUGGCGGACGGGUGAGUAACGCGUGAGUAACCUGCCUUUCAGAGGGGGACAACAGCUGGAAACGGCUGCUAAUACCGCAUAAUAUAUACGGAUCGCAUGAUUUGUAUAUCAAAGAUUUAUCGCUGAAAGAUGGACUCGCGUCUGAUUAGCUAGUUGGCGGGGUAACGGCCCACCAAGGCGACGAUCAGUAGCCGGACUGAGAGGUUGAACGGCCACAUUGGGACUGAGAUACGGCCCAGACUCCUACGGGAGGCAGCAGUGGGGAAUAUUGGGCAAUGGGCGCAAGCCUGACCCAGCAACGCCGCGUGAAGGAAGAAGGCUUUCGGGUUGUAAACGUCUUUUGUCAGGGAAGAUGAACAGACUGUACCUGACGAAUAAGCCACGGCUAACUACGUGCCAGCAGCCGCGGUAAUACGUAGGUGGCAAGCGUUGUCCGGAUUUACUGGGUGUAAAGGGCGUGUAGGCGGGAUUGCAAGUCAGGCGUGAAAACCAGGGGCUCAACCUCUGGCCUGCGUUUGANACUGUAGUUCUUGAGUACUGGAGAGGUUGACGGAAUUCCUAGUGUAGCGGUGAAAUGCGUAGAUAUUAGGAGGAACACCAGUGGCGAAGGCGGUCAACUGGACA